UCAAACUUGGUCAUUUAGAGGAAGUAAAAGUCGUAACAAGGUAACCGUAGGUGAACCUGCGGUUGGAUCAUUACAGAAUUAUGAUUUGUUGGGUGGAACAUGAGGGCUUUGAGCUCUUCCCCCUUCAAAUUCAUAUCCACCUCUUGUGUAACGUUUCACGUAUUUUGGCGGUCCUUAACCAUGGGGGAUGAGAAGAAGAGAAAAUUCUCUCCUGCUUUCUCCCUCGGAUCGCCAGCAUUAAACACCAAAAUAUUUUAGUUUGUGAACAUUGAAUGCCUCGUCACGAGGUUUCUGAAUUUGAAAACAACUUUUGACAACGGAUCUCUUGGCUCUCGCAUCGAUGAAGAACGCAGC
rnacentral:misc_RNA from 1 species